rnacentral:rRNA from 1 species
UUCAAUACUAGUCGCUUGCGUCUGGUGUGCACUUUUCUCUUAGUAGGACGUUGUGAUCCAUUAGGAAUCGAUGUGACUUGUGCACAUUACUGGGCCACCAAUAGACCGGCAUAAAGUUCAUUGAGAACAAAUAGCGUGAUCGUUUAUGGUCGCGCAUAUUGUCUUGUGAGUUUGCCGUGCACUGGUGUGGCUGCCUGAUGGAUUUUAAAGGCGGCAUCUGUCGUGCUUGCACGACCCUCUACGGAGGGAAUUGGAUGUGUGCCCGAUCAACAACGGUUAAAUUUGGGAUACCUUUGGGACCCGUCUUGAAACACGGACCAAGGAGUCUAUCUAGUGUGCGAGUAAAUGGGUAUCGCAUUAAACCUAUUUGCGUAACUAACUUGACUGUUAUGGGACCACGAGUGUCGCGCAAGCGGCCGCUCCUCAAUCCCGGGGUGUUUUCAUCACAUGUGCUUGCACAUAGAAAAUAUACCGUGAGCACACUGGAUGGGACCCGAAAGAUGGUGAACUAUGCCUGAUCAGGUUGAAGUCAGGGGAAACCCUGAUGGAGGACCGAAGCAAUUCUGACGUGCAAAUCG